GAGAGCGCUGCGCCACGCGGCGGGCCGAGCCUCAGGCGGAGGACGCGGUGUCAGAAUCCAAAGCAGCAAUUCUACAAGUCCUCCCUGCCCUAAGUGGCAGGGACGUGAGUGAUGCAAGAACUAGGGCCUGAUGAUUCUUCCUCUUCACCUACCCCGUCUUGGAAUGGAAGGCGCGGGCAUCUCACGUGACCGACUUGACAGGUCACAUGACCAGGAACUAGCUUUAACCUGGCCUCUGGAAAGAAUCUAAUCGGAAUAGGGGCCUGCUGACUUCAGUAAGGGACUGUUUCGUUAGAUCGAGAAGCUCGGGUUCGUCUAAUUCCACAUCCUACGCACACAUACCUUAGUCUCCGGUGGUCUACUGUGGUGAGGAAAACGAGGUACCUGAGACAGAAUGGAUCAUUCAGCUUCCAGCCUGAAGACACCCAACCCCUCAUGCUGAUACCUUUUCCCCAGUUGUUACUUCCCUCUCCUUGGCCCUUACUCACCAUGUCUGGCUGGAGGCGACCCAGAUGCCAUGUGAUGGUCAUUUGAAGACAGGAUUUCUCAAUAUCAGCUCAAGGUCCAGACAUGUGCUUUCCGGGCCCUGGGCCCUGAGCUCCAUACCUGGCCCUGGUUGAUGGCGGCGUGUUGAGACGUGCAUGUGAAGACACACAUCGUAAGGAAAUGGCAG